UACGGGGGGAGCAAGCGUUGUUCGGAUUUACUGGGCGUAAAGGGCGCGUAGGCGGCCACCGCAGGUCGGUUGUGAAAUCUCCGGGCUUAACCCGGAACGGUCAAUCGAUACUGCGGGGCUAGAGUGCAGAAGGGGCAACUGGAAUUCUCGGUGUAGCGGUGAAAUGCGUAGAUAUCGAGAGGAACACCAGUGGCGAAGGCGAGUCCCUGGACAAUACCUGACACUGAGGCACGAAAGCUAGGGGAGCAAACAGG
rnacentral:rRNA from 1 species